GAGCAAAUUCGUCUAAUUUUAAUGACGUAACAUUUGCAUUGAAGGUUGGCGAUAAUAAUAAAAGAUUCUUCGUGCCUAUAAAAACCUCAAGAACCAUCUUAAAAAUUGGUUCGAAUGACUCUAUAUG